rnacentral:tRNA from 1 species
GAUAUAGCUUAGUUGGUAGAGUGUUUGCCUUGCAUGCAUAAGGCCCUGAGUUCUAAUCCUCUGCAUC